UACAGAGGGUGCGAGCGUUGUCCGGAAUCACUGGGCGUAAAGGGCGCGUAGGCGGUCUUGCAAGUCCUGUGUGAAAUCCCUCGGCUCAACUGAGGAACUGCACAGGAAACUGCUUGGCUUGAGUUCGGGAGAGGGAAGCGGAAUUCCGGGUGUAGCGGUGAAAUGCGUAGAUAUCCGGAGGAACACCGGUGGCGAAGGCGGCUUCCUGGACCGACACUGACGCUGAGGCGCGAAAGCUAGGGGAGCAAACGGG
rnacentral:rRNA from 1 species